rnacentral:rRNA from 1 species
UACGUAGGGGGCUAGCGUUGUCCGGAAUCAUUGGGCGUAAAGAGCGUGUAGGCGGCCCGGUAAGUCCGCUGUGAAAGUCGGGGGGCUCAACCCUCGGAUGCCGGUGGAUACUGUCGGGCUCGAGUACGGAAGAGGCGAGUGGAAUUCCUGGUGUAGCGGUGAAAUGCGCAGAUAUCAGGAGGAACACCUAUUGCGAAGGCAGCUCGCUGGGACGUUAACUGACGCUGGAGACGCGAAAGCGUGGGGAGCAAACAGGAUUAGAU